GUGUUCCUACGGGGGGCAGCAGUAGGGAAUCUUCCACAAUGGGCGAAAGCCUGAUGGAGCAACGCCGCGUGGGUGAAGAAGGUCUUCGGAUCGUAAAACCCUGUUGUUAGAGAAGAAAGUGCGUGAGAGUAACUGUUCACGUUUCGACGGUAUCUAACCAGAAAGCCACGGCUAACUACGUGCCAGCAGCCGCGGUAAUACGUAGGUGGCGAGCGUUGUCCGGAUUUACUGGGUGUAAAGGGCGUGUAGCCGGGUUGACAAGUCAGAUGUGAAAUCCUGCGGCUUAACCGCAGAACUGCAUUUGA
rnacentral:rRNA from 1 species